CGGUAAUUCCAGCUCCAAUAGCGUUUAUUAAAGUUGUUGUGGUUAAAAAGCUCGUAGUUGACCCUUGGGCCUGGCUGGCCUGUCCACCUUCACCGCGUGUACUGGUCCGGCCGGGCCUUUCCCUUCGGGGAACCCCAUGCCCUUCACUGGGUGUGGCGGGGAAACAGGACUUUUACUGUGAAAAAAUUAGAGUGCUCCAGGCAGGCCUAUGCUCGAAUCCAUUAGCAUGGAAUAAUAGAAUAGGACGUGUGGUUCUAUUUUGUUGGUUUCUAGGACCGCCGUAAUGAUUAAUAGGGACAGUCGGGGGCAUCAGUAUUCAAUUGUCAGAGGUGAAAUUCUUGGAUUUAUUGAAGACUAACUACUGCGAAAGCAUUUGCCAAGGAUGUUUUCAUUAAUCAGGAACGAAAGUUAGGGGAUCGAAGACGAUCAGAUACCGUCGUAGUCUUAACCAUAAACUAUGCCGACUAGGGAUCGGACGGUGUUAUUUUUUGACCCGUUCGGCACCUUACGAGAAAUCAAAGUGCUUGGGCUCCAGGGGGGAGUAUGGUCGCAAGGCUGAAACUUAAAGAAAUUGACGGAAGGGCACCACCCAGGGGGUGGAGCCUGCGGCUUAAUUUGACUCAACACGGGGAA
rnacentral:rRNA from 1 species